UCUCAAUGGAUACUGAAGCUGGACUGCUGCGCCUUCCAACUCUUGCAAUUUCUGGGAAAAGAGAGGGCAGCUGGGUUUAGAUGAAGAGGACAGAGGAACAGUUAAAAAAGCAAUGUUUAACCUGGAGAAUCUCAAUUGCUGAGAAGAGCAGUGUUAAGGUCAACCCAUUUAGAUGUCCAGAUGUAGACAGGACAUUGCAGACACACGAUUCCAGAAAAUGCAUGCUGCUCUGUGGAGAACCGGGUAAUCAGAGAUCACAGUUUUGUACAUAUCCAGAUGUUUGACAGGUUGGAGGAAAGUCUACAAAUGCUUUGCACAGCUGAGCUACAGAGUCUGAAGAGACUAAGAGUGAAGACACAACUGUUUCAUCUGACUUCUAUUGGCCAACGCAUCCCUCAAAGUGCUGCUGAAUGUACAGCUAAGGACAGCUUUUAUGCUUUGGAGAAGUUUGCUCACUUUUCAUGAGGUGAAAAGUAAGGAUGUUUAUGCUUCAGCUGGAUACCUAUUCUAGAGUUCUCUUGGAUAAAUAUUUUAAGAAUGAUGACAAUAUCCUAGAAAUUUUAUAAUUGCCUUUCAUUUCCCCUUUCUAGUUAUAUA